rnacentral:tRNA from 1 species
UGUUCUGUGGCUUAGUUGGUUAAAGCGCCGAGCUAGCGAUACGGAGUCGUGUGUUCAAAUCCCUCCAAAACAA